GAUGAACGCUGGCGGCGUGCCUAAUACAUGCAAGUCGAGCGAACGGACGAGAAGCUUGCUUCUCUGAUGUUAGCGGCGGACGGGUGAGUAACACGUGGAUAACCUACCUAUAAGACUGGGAUAACUUCGGGAAACCGGAGCUAAUACCGGAUAAUAUUUUGAACCGCAUGGUUCAAAAGUGAAAGACGGUCUUGCUGUCACUUAUAGAUGGAUCCGCGCUGCAUUAGCUAGUUGGUAAGGUAACGGCUUACCAAGGCAACGAUGCAUAGCCGACCUGAGAGGGUGAUCGGCCACACUGGAACUGAGACACGGUCCAGACUCCUACGGGAGGCAGCAGUAGGGAAUCUUCCGCAAUGGGCGAAAGCCUCACGGAGCAACGCCGCGUGAGUGAUGAAGGUCUUCGGAUCGUAAAACUCUGUUAUUAGGGAAGAACAUACGUGUAAGUAACUGUGCACAUCUUGACGGUACCUAAUCAGAAAGCCACGGCUAACUACGUG
rnacentral:rRNA from 1 species